rnacentral:rRNA from 1 species
GAUGAACGCUGGCGGCGUGCCUAAUACAUGCAAGUCGAGCGAACGGACGAGAAGCUUGCUUCUCUGAUGUUAGCGGCGGACGGGUGAGUAACACGUGGAUAACCUACCUAUAAGACUGGGAUAACUUCGGGAAACCGGAGCUAAUACCGGAUAAUAUUUUGAACCGCAGGGUUCAAAAGUGAAAGACGGUCUUGCUGUCACUUAUAGCUGGAUCCGCGCUGCAUUAGCUAGUUGGUAAGGUAACGGCUUACCAAGGCAACGAUGCAUAGCCGACCUGAGAGGGUGAUCGGCCACACUGGAACUGAGACACGGUCCAGACUCCUACGGGAGGCAGCAGUAGGGAAUCUUCCGCAAUGGGCGAAAGCCUGACGGAGCAACGCCGCGUGAGUGAUGAAGGUCUUCGGAUCGUAAAACUCUGUUAUUAGGGAAGAACAUAUGUGUAAGUAACUGUGCACAGCUUGACGGUACCUAAUCAGAAAGCCACGGCUAACUACGUG